UUCCAAGGAUCAAAGUGCAGUUUCCAUGACAGCAGCUAGGGGCACCAUGGGAUAUAUAGCACCUGAAGUGUACUCCAGGAACUUUGGGAAUGUGUCCCAUAAGUCGGACGUUUACAGCUUUGGAGUAUUAGUGCUUGAAAUGGUUGGAGGGAGGAAGAACGUUGAAGUUGCAGCAGAGAAUGCUUGCCAGAUCUAUUUUCCAGAAUGGAUCUAUAAUCUCUUAGAGCGAGGAGAAGACCUGAGAAUCCAUAUUGAAGAGGAGGGAGAUGCAAAUAUUGCAAAGAAGCUUGCAAUUGUUGGGCUCUGGUGCAUUCAGUGGCAUCCAGUCCAGCGUCCUUCCAUGAAAGUA
rnacentral:misc_RNA from 1 species